UACGGAGGUGGCGAGCGUUGUCCGAAGUUACUGGGCGUAAAGCGCGCGUAGGCGGGGGAUUAAGUGAGAAGUGAAAGGCUGGGGCUCAACCCCAUGCAGUGCUUCUCAUACUGGCAGUCUUGAGGGCGGUAGAGAGAAGUGGAAUGGCUGGUGUAGCGGUGAAAUGCGUAGAUAUCGUAAGGAAGACCAGUGGCGAAGGCGGAUCUCUGGACAGUUACUGACACUGAGGCACGAAGGCCAGGGGAGCAAACGGG
rnacentral:rRNA from 1 species